rnacentral:rRNA from 1 species
AGCGAACGCUGGCGGCAGGCCUAAUACAUGCAAGUCGAACGCACCUUCGGGUGAGUGGCGGACGGGUGAGUAACGCGUGGGAACGUGCCCUUUGGUACGGAACAACUGAGGGAAACUUCAGCUAAUACCGUAUGUGCCCUUCGGGGGAAAGAUUUAUCGCCAUUGGAGCGGCCCGCGUUGGAUUAGCUAGUUGGUAGGGUAAUGGCCUACCAAGGCUACGAUCCAUAGCUGGUCUGAGAGGAUGAUCAGCCACACUGGGACUGAGACACGGCCCAGACUCCUACGGGAGGCAGCAGUAGGGAAUCUUGCGCAAUGGGCGAAAGCCUGACGCAGCCAUGCCGCGUGUAUGAUGAAGGUCUUAGGAUUGUAAAAUACUUUCACCGGGGAAGAUAAUGACGGUACCCGGAGAAGAAGCCCCGGCUAACUUCGUGCCAGCAGCCGCAGUAACAC